UACGGGGGGGGGCAAGCGUUGUUCGGAAUUACUGGGCGUAAAGGGCUCGUAGGCGGCCAACUAAGUCAGACGUGAAAUCCCUCGGCUUAACCGGGGAACUGCGUCUGAUACUGGAUGGCUUGAGGUUGGGAGAGGGAUGCGGAAUUCCAGGUGUAGCGGUGAAAUGCGUAGAUAUCUGGAGGAACACCGGUGGCGAAGGCGGCAUCCUGGACCAAUUCUGACGCUGAGGAGCGAAGCCAGGGGAGCAAAACGGGG
rnacentral:rRNA from 1 species